rnacentral:lncRNA from 1 species
UUUUUCUUUUUUUUUAUAUGAUGUUUGUUUGUUGAGACAGAGUUUGACUUUGUGCCCAGGUUGGAGUGCAGUGAUGCGAUUUCGACUCACUGUAACCUCCGCCUCCUGGGUUCAAGUAAUUCUUGUGCCUCAGGCUUACGAGUAUCUGGGACUACAGGCAUGCAGCACCACGCCCAGCUAAUGUUCAUAUUUUUGGUAGAGACGGGGGUUUCUCCAUGUUGGCCAGGCUGGUCUCAAACUCUUGGCCUUAAGUGAUUCCUCCAACGCUGCCUCCCAAAGUAUUGAGAUUAAAGGCGUGAGCCACUGCACCCAGUCAAAAAUAUUUUUCAAAUGACCACAAGGAACAUUUACCUGACAGGAUCGUUAUAAAGAUUAAAUGAGAUAAUACUUGUAAAAGGCUUUGUGCAGCAUUUCUCAAUAAAAGUAGGCUCUUAUUUUAGAAAUCUAACUAAAAAUAAUAAUACAGUUAUGCACUGCCCAAUAACAUUUCAGUCAAUGACAGACCACAUACACGACAGUAGUCCUAUGAGAUUGUAAUGGAGUUGAAACACUCCCGGCAUCUAGUGAUGUCAUAGCCAUCAUAACAUCACAGCAUAACUCAUUACUCUCAUGUUUGUAGUAGUGCUGGUGUAAGCCAAUCUGCUGUGCUGCCAGUCAUAUAAAAGUAUAGCACAUGCAAUUAUGAACAGUAUGUAAUACUUGAUAAUAAAUUACUCUAUUUCUAGUUUAUGUAUUUACUAUACUGUACUUUUCAUCCUUAUUUUAGAGUGUACUCCUUCUACUCAUGAAGAAAACAAGUUAGCCAGGUAUAGCGGCCCAUGCCUGUAGUCCCAGCCAGUCAUGAGGCGGGAAGAUCACUUGAGCCCAGGAAAUGGAGGCCAAUUUGGGUAAUCUGGACAAGAUACUGUCUCUACAAAAAGAAAACGUUUUUAAAUUCUAUAAAACAGCCUUUGUCAGGUCCUUGAGGAGGUAUCCAGAGGAAGGCAUUAUUGUGAUAGGAGGUGACAGCUCCAUGCAUGUUGUGGCCCCUGAAGACCUUCCAGUGGGACGAGACGUGGAGGAGGAAGACAGUGAUAUUGAUGAUCCUGACCCUGUGUAGGCUAAGGCUAAUUGCAGGUGUUUAUAUCUUAUAUUUUUACAAAAAUAAUUUAGAGAGUAAAAAAAAAUUUAAAUAGAAAAAAGCAUGUAGAAUAAGGACAUAAAGAAAAUAUGUUUGUAUAGCUCUACAAUGUAUUUGUGUUUUAAACUAAGUGUUAUUGCAAAAGAGUCAAAAGUAAAACAAAAUUUAAGUUUAUAUAGUCAAAAAAUUACAGGAAGCUAAAGUUAAUUUAUUAUUGAAGAUAGAAAAAUAUUUUCUAAAUGGAGUGUAGCCUACGGGUACAGUGUUUACAAAGUCUACAGUAGUGUACAGUAAUGUCUUAGGCCGUUACAUUCCUUCGCCACUCACUCACUGACUCACCCAGAGUAAAUUCCAGCCCUGCAAGCUCC